rnacentral:lncRNA from 1 species
GAUAAACAGUGAUCCAUAAAUAACUUCGUAAAUCAAACAUUAAUUCACUAAAUCGAUUCUCUUCACUAGAAUCAACACUAACACAAAAGAAACAAGAAAAUUAAGAAGAAGAGAUAGCACCAAGCUUAUCUCCAGCUCAGUACUAUCGCAAUCUGGCCUUUUCUUCCCCUCUUCUAUCUUCCUUAUACUACCCCGAGAUACCAACUCCUAUACUACAGAUGAUAACUACUUUUCCUGACUAUUCAUCCAUUCUACCUAUUGAACCACCUUUUCAGCAGUUAUCUAUCCUUGUUUAUACUAUACACUAGGUAUCUACAUUCUGAAAAUAACUACUUAUUCUACAUAGCCCCACUCCUAACUGUGCAGCGUCCCUACAAACACAAUAUUGAUAAA